AGUGAACGCUGGCGGUAGGCCUAACACAUGCAAGUCGAACGGCAGCACAGUAAUAGCUUGCUCUUACGGGUGGCGAGUUGCGGACGGGUUAGGAAUACAUCGGUAUCUACUUUUUCGUGGGGGAUAACGUAGGGAAACUUACGCUAAUACCGCCUACGACCUACGGGUGAAAGCAGGGGAUCUUCGGACCUUGCGCGAUUGAAUGAGCCGAUGUCGGAUUAGCUAGUUGGCGGGGUAAAGGCCCACCAAGGCGACGAUCCGUAGAUGGUCUGAGAGGAGGAUCAGCCACACGGGAACUGAGACACGGUCCAGACGCCUGAGGGAGGCAGCAGAGGGGAAUAUUGGGCAAUGGGCGCAAGCCUGAUCCAGCCAGACCGCGUGGGUGAAGAAGGCCUUCGGGUUGUAAAGCCCUUUUGUUGGGAAAGAAAAGCAGCAGGUUAAUACCCAGCUGAUGUGACGGUACCCAAAGAAUAAGCACCGGCUAACUUCGUG
rnacentral:rRNA from 1 species